AGUCUUUUCUAUUUAUUUCUAUACUUAAAAAUUAAUGUGGUUGACAGAAAAAUCAGUCCAUUACAUUUGAUGUGUCAUGUGUAUUUCAUGCUGACGCAUAUAAACCGACUUUUAACAAUAGAAAUGGAUAGAAUUUAUAACA
rfam:Gossypium hirsutum cultivar TM-1 chromosome 10, whole genome shotgun sequence